UGGUUUCUGAAAGGCAUUGCCAUGGA
rnacentral:piRNA from 1 species